AGUGAACGCUGGCGGUAGGCCUAACACAUGCAAGUCGAACGGCAGCACAGUAAGAGCUUGCUCUUACGGGUGGCGAGUGGCGGACGGGUGAGGAAUACAUCGGAAUCUACUUUUUCGUGGGGGAUAACGUAGGGAAACUUACGCUAAUACCGCAUACGACCUACGGGUGAAAGCAGGGGAUCUUCGGACCUUGCGCGAUUGAAUGAGUCGAUGUCGGAUUAGCUAGUUGGCGGGGUGAAGGCCCACCAAGGCGACGAUCCGUAGCUGGUCUGAGAGGAUGAUCAGCCACACUGGAACUGAGACACGGUCCAGACUCCUACGGGAGGCAGCAGUGGGGAAUAUUGGACAAUGGGCGCAAGCCUGAUCCAGCCAUACCGCGUGGGUGAAGAAGGCCUUCGGGUUGUAAAGCCCUUUUGUUGGGAAAGAAAAGCAGCAGGUUAAUACCCCGCUGUUCUGACGGUACCCAAAGAAUAAGCACCGGCUAACUUCGUG
rnacentral:rRNA from 1 species